UACGUAGGGUGCAAGCGUUGUCCGGAAUUAUUGGGCGUAAAGAGCUCGUAGGCGGCUUGUCGCGUCGGCUGUGAAAACCCGGGGCUCAACCCCGGGCCUGCAGUCGAUACGGGCAAGCUAGAGUUCGGCAGGGGAGACUGGAAUUCCUGGUGUAGCGGUGAAAUGCGCAGAUAUCAGGAGGAACACCGGUGGCGAAGGCGGGUCUCUGGGCCGAUACUGACGCUGAGGAGCGAAAGCGUGGGGAGCGAACAGG
rnacentral:rRNA from 1 species